GAUAGUGUGGCCGAGUGGUCUAUGGCGCUGGAUUUAGGCUUCGGAGGCAAGGGUUCGAAUCCCUUCACUGUCA